rnacentral:lncRNA from 1 species
AACUGUCAUAGCAGGUUCCAGCUUGAAUGGUAACUGAGCAGAAGGUAUCUCUCCAGAGUACUUCAGAUCAUCCUAAAAGCAGCAUCAUUUCCACCAGGAACCCAGCUUCUACCAGAAAAGAGUGCUGGGAAAUGGUGCUUCUGGUUAUUUGAAAUUUCAGAUGGUAACAAGCUUGGAAUUGUCUUUUUCUUCAGCUAUGGACUGUAUCAAAGUUUAUGGGCUAUAAUUGUAUUUUGGUUUCUGCCAGGCAUCAGGAUAGCUCAUUUGCAUGACUGGUACAAAAUUUACUUAUUCAGUGAAUCAUGCUCAGCUGCUGUACUGUUCAAUCUGUAAUAAUAACUGCAGGGUGACUGACUAACGAUAACUAAUCUUCUCUCAACUACAAAAGCAUGUAAAUUAGUAAAAUAAAUGUUUAGUUGUGU